AGUAAAGUCAGCUAAUUAAGCUCUUGGGCCCAUACCCCAAAUAUGUAGGUUAAACCCCUUCCUUUACUA
rnacentral:tRNA from 2 species